CUGUCUGUCUGGGUCACCUCUGAAGCGGUGGCUGGUAUGCGUGUUGGUAUGAGAAGCAGGAGACUGCCUGCGGGGACCGCUCGCCCCUUCCUCGCUUGGCUACCUCCAGACCCCCCGCGGCCCCCCCACUCUCAAGCCUAGGCAGAAGCACACAGACACACGCGCACACACGCACAACCUCACUUCCCUGGGAUUUCCCCUCAACACCCCCAGAGCUUGAGCAGGGAGACACACACUCAUACACGCACGCAGGGGGUCCAAUGGGGGGCGGGCUGCCCCUGCCGUCAGGGGCUGUUUGGCCAGACAGGAGGACACAGGCAUCCAGGGACACCCAGACGCCCGGCCGGACGCAGGCAGGAGGCACAGAACCCAGGUCUGGGAGGCCUGGCCUGAAGGUGCACAUUCCCGAAAGAGAAGACUUGUGGCCUGGAUUUUGAGCUGGAGGCCCCAGGUGAGUGACAGAAGCCGGCAGUCCAGCGUUUGGGUUUCUGUGCAGGACUUUUGGAGUUCAGGAGGCGCCUCCCCAAACCCUGUAAGGGUAGGGUCUUGGCAGCUCUUCUCCACCCUUUACAAAUACACGCUGCCUGGGGCAGCAAUGCGGGGAUUUGGGAGUAUCUCACGCCGGCGACCCUCCAAGUUCCUCGGACUCAGCCGAGGAGUGCAUUGGGCGCCAGACCUGCAAGGCAGGAGGUGGGCGACAGGGGGAGCCCGAGAACCGAAAC
rnacentral:lncRNA from 1 species